CAGCAGCCGCGGUAAUACGUAGGGGGCGAGCGUUGUCCGGAAUUACUGGGCGUAAAGGGUGCGUAGGCGGCUUCAGAAGUCAGGUGUGAAAUACCGUGGCUCAACUACGGGGGUGCAUUUGAAACUUUGAAGCUUGAGUGCAGGAGAGGAAAGUGGAAUUCCUAGUGUAGCGGUGAAAUGCGUAGAGAUUAGGAGGAACACCAGUGGCGAAGGCGACUUUCUGGACUGUAACUGACGCUGAUGCACGAAAGCGUGGGUAGCGAACAGGAUUAGAUACCCUGGUAGUCCACGCCGUAAACGAUGGAUACUAGGUGUAGGAGGUAUCGACCCCUUCUGUGCCGUAGUUAACGCAAUAAGUAUCCCGCCUGGGGAGUACGUGCGCAAGCAUGAAACUCAAAGGAAUUGACGGGGACCCGCACAAGCAGCGGAGCAUGUGGUUUAAUUCGAAGCAACGCGAAGAACCUUACCAGGGCUUGACAUCCCGAUGACCGGUACAGAGAUGUACCUUCUCUUCGGAGCAUCGGUGACAGGAGGUGCAUGGCC
rnacentral:rRNA from 1 species